rnacentral:rRNA from 1 species
GUUUGAUCCUGGCUCAGAGCGAACGCUGGCGGCAGGCUUAACACAUGCAAGUCGAACGGGCACCUUCGGGUGUCAGUGGCAGACGGGUGAGUAACACGUGGGAACGUGCCCUUCAGUUCGGAAUAACCCAGGGAAACUUGGGCUAAUACCGGAUACGUCCGUAAGGAGAAAGAUUUAUCGCUGAAGGAUCGGCCCGCGUCUGAUUAGCUAGUUGGUGGGGUAAUGGCCUACCAAGGCGACGAUCAGUAGCUGGUCUGAGAGGAUGAUCAGCCACACUGGGACUGAGACACGGCCCAGACUCCUACGGGAGGCAGCAGUGGGGAAUAUUGGACAAUGGGCGAAAGCCUGAUCCAGCCAUGCCGCGUGAGUGAUGAAGGCCUUAGGGUUGUAAAGCUCUUUCGGCGGGGACGAUAAUGACGGUACCCGCAGAAGAAGCCCCGGCUAACUUCGUGCCAGCAGCCGCGGUAAUACGAAGGGAGCUAGCGUUGCUCGGAAUCACUGGGCGUAAAGGGCGCGUAGGCGGCCAUUCAAGUCAGGGGUGAAAGCCCAAGGCUCAACCUUGGAAUUGCCUUUGAUACUGUUUGGCUUGAGACCGGAAGAGGUAAGUGGAACUGCGAGUGUAGAGGUGAAAUUCGUAGAUAUU